rnacentral:tRNA from 1 species
CCGCCAUUAGCUCAUCAGGAAGAGCAGACGACAACUGCUCUUCCUGAACCAGGAUUGUUGUAUGGUACGGGGUUCGAGGCCUCGAUGGCGGUCCA